rnacentral:rRNA from 1 species
CUCGAGUGGCGAACGGGUGAGUAACACGUGGGUGAUCUGCCCUGCACUUCGGGAUAAGCUUGGGAAACUGGGUCUAAUACCGGAUAGGAACCAUCUUUAGUGUGGUGGUUGGAAAGUUUUUUCGGUGUAGGAUGAGCUCGCGGCCUAUCAGCUUGUUGGUGGGGUAAUGGCCUACCAAGGCGGCGGCGGGUAGCCGGCCUGAGAGGGUGUACGGCCACAUUGGGACUGAGAUACGGCCCAGACUCCUACGGGAGGCAGCAGUGGGGAAUAUUGCACAAUGGGCGCAAGCCUGAUGCAGCGACGCCGCGUGGGGGAUGAAGGCCUUCGGGUUGUAAACUCCUUUCGCUAGGGACGAAGCUUUUUGGUGACGGUACCUAGAUAAGAAGCACCGGCUAACUACGUGCCAGCAGCCGCGGUAAUACGUAGGGUGCGAGCGUUGUCCGGAAUUACUGGGCGUAAAGGGCUCGUAGGUGGUUUGUCGCGUCGUCUGUGAAAUUCUGGGGCUUAACUCCGGGCGUGCAGGCGAUACGGGCAUAACUUGAGUGCUGUAGGGGUAACUGGAAUUCCUGGUGUAGCGGUGAAAUGCGCAGAUAUCAGGAGGAACACCGAUGGCGAAGGCAGGUUACUGGGCAGUUACUGACGCUGAGGAGCGAAAGCAUGGGUAGCGAACAGGAUU